GCUGUUAAUUGCUUAUUUUGUUGAGUUGAAUUUGAUAUCUUUGAACUUGCUUUAUGUAGUUACACUGUAAACUGUUCGCUGGUUAGUGAGCUAAUUUAUAUUGGCCCAUAUAAAUAAUGCUUCACUUUGGGUUUGGCUCAUUGCUUGCAGUGGCAGUCUCCUCUGAAGAAAGGUUUUAGAUGGAGAGCAUCGGCUAAAAGGAAGGACUUUAAAGAUGGUUUCAAAACACCAGCUGGCUUACCAGGUGAAACACUUCAGUUAAAUUAGCAACAAGUUCUAAGAGAUUUUUAUGUUUGGUGAAAAUGGUUCUGUAUUGUCCAUUUUGUCUUACAUUUUUCAUCCAGGUACAUGACAGCACAGAAGUGUGUUUACACAUGAGUGAGAGUGUGUUAUAGCGUUUGCCUUGAAGUCAGCCAACAUCAGGAUGUGUCAGUCUGGCCAAGGAAGACAUGGACAACACAUCAGAGUGUGUACACACCAGUUUGAGCUGAAAGCUGCACCCUUCUUUUCACUGAAGCAAGAGGAUUUGUUCCUGGGAGCAGCCGAGAAGUCUGGGAGUUUCUACCAUGACAUGGGUCGGCCUACCCCAGCGUGCACUGCGUGGAAGGAAGGGAACACAAACCCCCAGUCAGGUCAGCCGUUAAUCACGGG